GUCAUCAAAAAUACCGUUGGCCUUCGCUGGUUUCCUCACUCAAAACCACCACGAAGAAGCCUUGAGCCUCUGGUUUUUCUCCUACACUUUUGGUACACUCACCUAUGUAACCAAACCCCCUUACUCUCAUUUACUUCAUCAAAUCAUAGCUCCUGAUAUCUUAAUCUCUCCAAAUCCAACUUCAAAGAGUUUCCAACUCGUUGGUUCUAUAUUACAGUAACAGAGAAAAUGAGUUCAGCAAGCAAAGCGUGGUUGGUUGCAGCAGCUGUUGGAGGUGUUGAGGCGUUGAAAGAUCAAGGGUUCUGUAAAUGGAACUACACCUUAAGAUCGCUGCACCAACAUGCCAAGAACCAUGUCAGAUCAGCCUCUCAGGCCAAGAAGCUUUCUUCUUCAUCUUCUGCCAUGAUCUCGAAUAAAGUCAAGGAAGUGAAAGCAAAACAGUCUGAGGAAUCUCUAAAAAAAGUCAUGUAUUUGAUCAGCUGCUGGGGUCCUUACUAAAGCUAAGAAGCAAGAUGAAAUUGAGAAACUUAUCGUGAUAGGAUUACCCUGAUCGUUGCAAGUUGAUGUAAAUAUUUGUAAAUUUUGGUGCUGACUUAAUGGAAUCAAACUAUAUUAUUUUUUCAUUAAUUUUUCCUUGCACCAUUUAUUUUUUCUGUUUUCCCCCUUCUCUUGGUAGCACCUCGUGUCACAAGUGAAAAAGGAUCAUGACAAGGUUCAAGUUUAGUGCAUCACAGCAUUUGCUAAGGAUAUUUAAAUCAAUUGCAAUCUCAAGAUAGAAUCGAAAUUCUAAUUUCGUUACGAAAAUCUAUUUUAAAAAAGCUAGGCCUGCAACUUUGACUGGUUUUUUAAUGACAUCCAUGGAUUAAGAAAUAAUUAUUGGAUUAAAACCUUACCCCGUUUUUGGAGCCAAAUGGAAGUUAUAUAUAUAUAUAUAUAUAUAUAUAUAUAUAUAUAUAUAUAUAAUCUGUUAAAUGAAGAUCAACAGGGCUUCUUUACUUCAAUGUCAGAACUUUUGAGCAUUCAAGAAACUUGGAAUGUUGCAAAAUGGUUGAACUUGACAGAAAAGAAAUAUUUUUUUUUGAAGUGAAUAAUGUUUAGUAACGUAAUGAGAAUCCAUUUGAUCACUGCUCAAGUCGUUUAUGCAUCAAAAUUUUGCUUGAUGACAUGUCUGGAUAAGGAGAGCUUGAGAGUUGAGAACUUGGUAUUUUGUGACACACGCAAUGGAUCUACAAUUAUUGUCUGUCCUUUACUCAAGCCCCACUCCUGAAGAAAAACAGGAGGAUUUGCCUCCUAUACUUGAGGCUCACCUCGGAGUUUUAUAAAGCAAACCGUGUGCCUCUUUAUCAAAACAAGGCCCCGCUCUAGCAACAUGAUAAGAUGCAUGAAAAAGAAAUGUAUUUAAUGCCACCAAGUGGUCCUUGAUGGACAUAAAGAUUCAGUCCCAUCAUAGCUGGUGGUUUGGCUCCCUUAAGCUAAAACCACCAGCUACAGCUUGUUCCUAGCUUCCGGUUUCCUUCAAAUUUCUGGCACCUAGUCCGCUACUCUCUUUAUAAGCAAAUCCCAGUUUGCCAUUUACACCAUCGACACGAAUUCUCAAUUACAUCUCAUCCUUUUCAACUAAAAAUCUCACAUCAACGAGUUUCCAACUAUUGUUCUAUUUUAUAUUACAGAGAAAAUGAGUUCAGCAAGUAAAGCUUGGUUGGUAGCUGCUGCUAUUGGAGGUGUUGAGGCCUUGAAAGACCAAGGCUUCUGUAGGUGGAACUACACAUUGAGAUCGCUACACCAACAUGCCAAGAACCAUGUCGGGUCAAUUUCUCAGGCUAAUAAGAAGCUCCCUUAUUCAUCUUCUGCCAUUAUUUCAAAUAAAUUCAAGGAAGAGAAGAUGAAACAGUCAGAGGAGUCUCUAAGAAAAGUCAUGUAUUUGAGUUGUUGGGGUCCUAACUGAUACUCUCAAGAAAAAGGAAAUUCUGAGGAAAUCAGUUCAUAGGAUUAGAGUAAAUUUUUGCAAGUUGAUUUAAACUGUAAAUGCUUGUGCUGACAAUCAAAUAUAUCUCAUUUUAUUGGCAAAAUUUUGGGAAAAUGGCCUUAAAGUAACAUUAACAAAGGAUAUGGCUCAUGUUAAAAAAAACACCAGCAACUCAAUUGGAGGAGGAGUUGUAUCACAGAAGCUAAAUAUCUUGAUAAGUUGAUAAAUUAGGACAAAUCUUAAACUGGAAUUCUCAAUUUCAGUUUGGCCCAGAAGAAAAUUAGUUUAGGAAUAUUUCUUUACUCACAAGUGUUCACGGCAGGGUGAUGAUCACUGUAUGUGAAAUGAAAACGCUGUGUUUGUUUUCCGGAAAGUGGUUUCCGGGAAAGCACUUUCCAAACUUUCUCGUGUUUGUUUGCCAGUAGGAAAGUUGGUCAAUGGAAAACACUUUCCAGUAAAAGGAAAAUUUGGCUUGGUUUUCAGGAAAGUGUUUUCCUGAAAAAUUUGAGGGGAAAACACUUUCCAGAAGUUGUGAAAAUUUUAGAAAUGUCAUUAUUUGCUGAUUAUAUCAAAUUUGAUCCUCAAACUUUUGAUUGCUAUAUAUAUUUUGUUUUGAAUAUUUAUUUUUCAAUUUCAUCUCUUAAAAUUUUAUUUUUAUAUUAACUUUGGUCCUUAUUUUUAUAAUUGUUAUUUGCUUUUUUCUUACCAUUUUUUUAUUGAAAUUUUUUAUUUAUCAAAUUUGAUCCUCAUUCUUUUUGAUUGUUACUUAUUUUAUUUGAAAUAAUUUAUGAAAUGUUGAUUAUUAUUAUUUUAAUUUCUUCAUUUUUCAUUUUUUUUUAUUUUUUUAGAUUUGAUCCCUAUUAUUUUGAUUAUUAUUUGUUUUAUUUGAGAUAAUUUAUGAAAUUAUAUUUUUUUUUUUCAAUUUCAUUCUCAUUCAACUUUUUAAUUUGUAAGAUUUGUUCCUCAUUAUUUUAAUAAACUUGAGAAAAAUAAAAUAUUAAUAAGUUAUUUUCCAGCUCAUUUUUCAUGACAUAACUAAACACUGGAAAGUGUUUUCCAGUUCAUUUUCCAUAACACUACCAAACAUCGGAAAAUACUUUCCCGGAAUUCACUUUCCAGGAAUUCACUUUCCUCGGAAUUCACUUUCCAAAAGAAAUUCACUUUCCUGCAAACAAACGGAGCCUUAAAUUACAAAAGAAUUGUAUAAAUAAUUAACCCGAAGAAUUUUUGAAUAAUUAUAUGAUGAAUUUAUGAAAAACUUUCACACAGAAAUUGGGUUUUUAAAGACAACAAUUAUAGAUGAGAGAUGUGUGUGGGGGUCUAAAUAUGGGAUUAGCCUUAAAAAAUAUCGAUCUUGGGACGUGAAGAAUAUUUUCAAACCAAUUGAUUUGGUGAAAACUUUGGUGUUAUCAUUGAUGUUGGCAAAACGUUAUCUAGAAAAAGCUAUUGGUAUAGAAAAUAUAUACUUGAUUUUCAUAGACAUGUGAUUAUUGGCUUGAUGUUUGGAUCACGACCCCAACAAUAACAAGGAGGCGAAGGUUUAUUGCCAUUUGGGUCAACAAAAACAAUUUUGUUCUGGUAAAAAUGUAUGCCAUCAUUUUCCUCUCAUGUUUUUUAAACAAAUAUGCUCGAAAGACAUGAAAAGAAAAGAAAAAAUUAGAAAAAGAAAACUUGUUUUGUAUAGAGUUUACAAGUGUAGAUAGUUUUUGUUAAAUUUUUGCAAGAAAGAGCAAAGUUUAAUUAUCUUGCUUAGAGGUAGUUUAGUUAAAAAAAAGAGUGGAAAAGUAAGCAAUAUGAUAUCUGAAUGAGUGUACAAGUUCAAGACGCCUUACAUGAGAAGUCCAAAUUUAAUUAUCAUGUUUUGGAGACAGGUAGUCAAAAAGACUUGAAGAAAGAUUUGUGAUUUUUUUUAUAGACAAGUGGUUACAGAAUAAUGAAAAAGGAUAUCUUAUACUUUAGAAAAUAUAUGAUCAUAGUGUUUUGGAGACAUUUAUGAAGAUUCAAUUAAGACAUGAAGAUUUUAGUAUGAAAAAUUAAAGAAGCUAGAGUUUAUUUUCAAUAUAAGUUAUAUAUUUAUUACACUGAAUAGGCUAAUUUGUUUGUUUUGUUUAUUGUAAUUUCAUGCUUGCAAGAGUUAUUUUUCAAUGCUAUUGUGUAAUCUUUUAUAUAUAUAUAUAUAUUCAAUUACUAUCUUUGCUUAUUUUUUUAUUGUCUAAUUAAAAUAAAACUAACUUAUUAAAUUUAAAUGAGGCUAUAACCUGAGUUAUUUGUUUUUUUUUAUUUCUUUUAAAUAUGCUUGUGACACCUAGAUUAUAGUUGUCUUUUUUUAUUUUUUAUUUUUUAUUUUAAUUGAUACCUUUUUAAAAAAAUAUUUUUUUUUAAUUUAUAUUUGCAUUAAUAUCUCUUCUCAAUUAUUUUUUAUUUUUAAUUGAUUUUUCCUUCAAUUUCAUCCAUAUCCUUUGGUUUAAUUUGAUUUUUAAAUCAAACUUAUUUCUUAUUCUUUUGAUAUUUUUAAACCUUUUAUAAAUUGAUUUUUUUUCAAUUACAUUCCUUGGCAUUUAAUUUCAAUUUAUUUUUCUAUUAAAUUUGGUUCCCGUUAUUUGUUUUUCUUCUUGUCUUUUAUGGGGUUAGUCUCAUCCUCAUUACAAGGGUCACAAGUUUCGAAGGUUAACAUUGGUUGACUUUGAUUUUUUUAAGUUUUUUUAUCAAAUUGAUUUAUUUUUAAUUUUAUCCUAUAAUAUUUAAUUUUUUUUAAUUAGUUUUUUUUUAUCUUUUUUUAUAUGGAGUUAUCUCAAUCCUAUACCCAUAGUCUUAGAGUUAGUGGCUUAAUCCAAGUUAACUCGGAUUUGUUUUCAUAUAUAAAUAUAAUUUUCUUAAUUCCAUUGCUAAAGAUCUUUUUAUUGAGAAUUUUGCUUCGUUGUUUUUUUUGUUUGCCUUCCAAUGCAGUCGGUCUCAGUCUCAUGACCACGGUUGUGGAUUUUAAAAGUUAAUAUUUGUUAAUUUUGAUUUGUUUAGGUUUUUUUUUUUUUCAAUUUCAUCAUUCAACAUUUAAAUUUUUAGGAUUGAUCUUCAUGCUUUUUUUUUAUUCACUUUCUUUUUUAUGGGGCUAUCUCAAUCUAAUGCCCAAAAUCGUGAAGUUAGUGAGUUAACCUAGCAGAGACAAGUUUGAUAUUAGAAUAAAUGGAUUUAAAUAAUAUUUUAUUUUUAACUUUUUCGUAUUAAAAUGAUUUGAAUAUAUAUAUAUAUAUAUAUAUAUAUAUAUUUUAAAAGCAAAAACAAACUAGGUAUAAUAAUAAAAACUUAAUUUAUCUCCAUUUUUUUAAUGACCAAGUUGUAUUCCAAUAAUUGAAGGGGAAAUAGAGACCACUUGUCUUCUAAAAAAUACCGUUGGCCUUCGCUGGUUUCCUCACUCAAAACCACCACCAAGAAGCCUUUAGCCUCUGGUUUUUCUCCUACAAUUUUGGUACACUCACCUAUAUAACCAAACCCCUUUACUCCCAUUUCCUUCAUCAAAUCAUUGCUCCUGAUAUCUUAAUCUCUUCAAAUCCCACUUCAAAGAGUUUCCAACUCGUUGGUUCUAUAUUACAGUAACAUGAAAAAUGAGUUCAGCGAGUAAAGCUUGGUUGGUUGCAGCAGCUGUUGGAGGUGUCGAGGCCUUGAAAGACCAAGGGUUCUGUAGGUGGAGCUACACCUUGAGAUCCCUUCACCAACAUGCCAAGAACCAUGUCAGAUCAGCCUCUCAGGCCAAGAAGCUUUCUUCUUCAUCCUCUGCCAUGAUCUCGAAUAAAAUCAAGGAAGUGACAGCAAAACAGUCGGAGGAAUCUCUAAGAAAAGUCAUGUAUUUGAGCUGUUGGGGUCCUUCCUAAAGCUAAGAAGCAAGAUGGAAUUGAGAAAAUUAUCGUGAUAGGAUUACCCUGAUCGUUGCAAGUUGAUGUAAAUAUUUGUAAAUUUUGGUACUGACUUAAUGGAAUCAAACUAUAUUAUUUCUUGAUUAAUUUUUCCUUGCACCAUUUAUUUUUUUCUGUUUUCCCACUUCUUUUGGAAAGGAUCAUGAAAAGGUUCAAUUUUAGUGCAUCACAGCAUUUGCUAAGGAUAUUUGAAUCAAUUGCAAUCUCAAGAUAGAAUCUAAAUUCUAAUUUGGUUAAGAAAAUCUAUUAAAACAAAAUCCAGGUCUAACUUUGACUGGUUUUUUAAUGACAUAUAUAUUAUCUGUUAAAUGAAGAUCAAUAGGGCUUAUUUAUUUAAAUGUCAGAACUUUUGAACUUUCAAGAAAAUUGGAAUGUGGCAAAAUGGUUGAACCUGACAAAAAAAAAAAGUAUUUUCUUGAAUAUCUGAAAAAUGAAUUAGCUCGUAAGAAAUAAUUAUUUUGAAGUGAAUAGUGUUUCGUAACAUUAGAGAAUCCACUUGCUCACUGCUCAGGUCGUUUAUGCGUCAAAAUUUUGCUGGAUGCCAAGUCUUUAGAACGCUCGAUUAAGGAGAGCUUGAGAGUUCAGAACUUUGUAUUUUGUGACGCAUGCAAUGGAUCUACAAGACUACAAGUAUUGUCUGUCCUUUACUCAAGCCCCACUGCUGAAGAAAAACAAGUGGAUUUGCCUCCUAUACUUGAGGCUCACUUCGGAUUUUUAUAAAGCAAACCGUGUGCUCUUUACCAAAACAUGGCCCCGCUCUAGCAACAUGAUAAGAUGCAUGAAAAAGAAAUGUAUUUAUAAUUCCACCAAGUGGUCCUUGAUAGACAUAAAGAUUCAGUCCCAUCAUAGCAUAACCACGAUAAAAUAAUACCACUGGCUCCCUUAAACCAAAACCAGCAACCACAGCUUGCUCCUUGCUUCCGGUUUCCUCCCAAUUUCUGGCAAUUAGUUCCCAACUCUCUUUAUAAGCAAAUCCCAGUUUGCCAUUUACACCAUCGACACGGAUUCUGAAUCACAUCUCAUCGUUUUCAACUAAAAAUCCCACAUCAAAGAGUUUCCAACUAUUGUUCUAUUUUAUAUUACAGAGAAAAUGAGUUCAGCAAGUAAAGCUUGGUUGGUAGCUGCUGCUAUUGGAGGUGUUGAGGCCUUAAAAGACCAAGGCUUCUGUAGGUGGAACUACACAUUGAGAUCGCUACGCCAGCAUGCCAAGAACCAUGUCGGGUCAAUUUCUCAGGCUAAUAAGAAGCUCCCUUGUUCAUCUUCUGCCAUUAUUUCAAAUAAAUUCAAGGAAGAGAAGGCGAAACAGUCAGAGGAGUCUCUAAGAAAAGUCAUGUAUUUGAGUUGCUGGGGUCAAAACUGAUACUCUCAAGAAAGAAGAAAUUCUGAGGAAAUCAGUUCAUAGGAUUAGAGUAAAUUUUUGCAAGUUGAUUUAAACUGUAAAUGCUUGUGCUGAUUGCCAAUCAAAUAUAUCUCAUUUUAUUGGCAAAAUUUUGGGAAAAUGGCCUUAAAGUAACAUUAACAAAGGAUAUGGCUCAUGUUAAAAAAAAAACCAGCAACUCAAUUGGAGGAGGAGUUGAUAAAUUAGGACAAAUCUUAAACUGGAAUUCUCAAUUUCAAUUUGGCCCAGAAGAAAAUUAGUUUAGGAAUAUUUCUUUACUCACAAGUGUUCACGGCAGGGUGAUGAUCACUGUAUGUGAAAUUAAACAGGCCUUUAAAUUACAAAAGAAUUGUAUAAAUAAUUAACCCGAAGAAUUUGUGAAUAAUUAUCUGAUGAAUUUAUGAAAAACUUUCACACAGAAAUUGGGUUUUUAAAGACAACAAUUAUAGAUGAGAGAUGUAUGGGGGUCUAAAUAUGGGAUUAGCCUUAAAAAAUAUCGAUCUUGGGACGUGAAGAAUUUCAAACCAAUUGAUUUGGUGAAAACUUUGGUGUUAUCAUUGAUGUUAGCAAAACGUUAUCUAGAAAAAGCUAUUGGUAUAGAAAAUAUAUACUUGAUUUUCAUAGACGUGUGAUUAUUGGCUUGAUGUUUGGAUCACGACCCCAACAAUAACAAGAAGGCGAAGGUUUAUUGCCAUUUGGGCCAACAAAAACAAUUUUGUUCUGGUAAAAAUGUAUGCCAUCAUUUUCCUCUCAUGUUUUUUAAACAAAUAUGCUCGAAAGACAUGAAAAGAAAAGAAAAAAAUUAGAAAAAGAAAACUUGUUUUGUAUAGAGUUUACAAGUGUAGAUAGUUUUUGUUAAAAGUUUUUGCAAGAAAGAACAAAGUUUAAUUAUCUUGCUUAGAGGUAGUUUAGUAAAAAAAAAGAGUGGAAAAGUAAGCAAUAUGAUAUCUGAAUGAGUGUACAAGUUCAAGACGCCUUACAUGAGAAGUCCAAGUUUAAUUAUCAUGUUUUGGAGACAGGUAGUCAAAAAGACUUGAAGAAAGAUUUGUGAUUUUUUUUAUAGAUUUGUGAUUUUUUUUAUAGACAAGUGGUUAUAGAAUAAUGAAAAAGGAUAUCUUAUACUUUAAAAAAUAUAUGAUCAUGGUGUUUUGGAGACAUUUAUGAAGAUUCAAUUAAGACAUGAAGAUUCUAGUGUGAAAAAUUAAAGAAGCUAGAGUUUAUUUUCAAUAUAAGUUAUAUAUUUAUUACACUGAAUAGGCUAAUUUGUUUUUUUUGUUUAUUGUAAUUUCAUGCUUGCAAGAGUUAUUUUUCAAUGUUAUUGUGUAAUAUAUAUAUAUAUAUAUAUUCAAUUACUAUCUUUGUCUAUUUUUUUAUUGUCUAUUUAAAAUAAAACUAACUUAUUAAAUUUAAAUGAGGCUAUAACCUGAGUUAUUUGUUUUUUUUAUUUCUUUUAAAUGUGCUUGUGACACCUAGAUUAUAGUUGUCUUUUUUUUAUUUUUUUAUUUUAUUUUUUAUUUUAAUUGAUACCUUUUUUAAAAAAUAUAUAUAUUUUUUAAUUUAUAUUUGCAUUAAUAUCUCUUCUCAAUUAUUUUUUAUUUUUAAUUGAUUUUUCCUUCAAUUUCAUCCAUAUCCUUUGGUUUAAUUUGAUUUUCAAAUCAAACUUAUUCCUUAUUCUUUUGAUAUUUUUAAACUUUUUUAUAAAUUGAUUUUUUUUCAAUUACAUUCCUUGGCAUUUAAUUUCAAUUGAUUUUUCUAUUAAAUUUGGUUCCCGUUAUUUGUUUUUCUUCUUGUCUUCUAUGGGGUUAGUCUCAUCCUCAUUACAAGGGUCACGAGUUUCGAAGGUUAACAUUGGUUAACUUCAAUUUUUUUAGGUUCUUUUAUCAAAUUGAUUUAUUUUUAAUUUUAUCCUUUAAUAUUUGAUUUUUUUAAUUAAUUUUUUUUAUCUUUCUUUAUAUGGGGUUAUCUCAAUUCUAUGCCCAUAGUCUUAGAGUUAGUGCCUUAAUCCAAGUUAAAUCAUAUAUACAUAUAAUUUUCUUAGUUCCAUUGCUAAGGAUCUUUUUGUUGAGAAUUUUGCUUCAUUGUUUUUUUUUGUUUGCCUUCCAUGCAGUCGGUCUUAGUCUCAUAACCACGGUUAUGGAUUUUAAAAGUUAACAUUUGUUAAUUUUGAUUUGUUUAGGUUUUUUUUAAAAUUGAUUUUUUUUUAAUUUUAUCAUUCAACAUUUAAAUUUUUGGGAUUGAUCUUCAUACUUUUUUUUUUCACUUUUCAUUUCAUGGAGCUAUCUCAAUCUAAUGCCCAAAAUUGUGAAGUUAGUGAGUUAAUCUAGAUUGACCAAAAUCUUUUUUUAUUGAUUUUUUUAAAAUAUUUAUUUUUAGUUGUCACUCAAUAUUAGAUUGUUUGAGUUUCAUAUUUUUUUCAAUUUGUUUUUGUUAACAAUUCUUUGUAUUGUUUAUUGGCACGAAUAAUCUUUUAAUUAAACAAAAAGUUUAUUCUAUAAAACAAAGUUAUUGAACAUAAGUAAGUAGAUAACAUGGGUUGCAUGAUCAAAUAUUUUAAUCUUAAUAAGUCAUUGAUUAAAUAUUAAUUUAUUUAAUUAAAUAUAUGUAUAAAUAUUUUAAUAUAUGAUUGAGAAUUUUUUAUAUAAAAAACAUGAAGAAAAACUUAUUUAUUCUUUAUUUUUUUAUUAAAAAAUUAAGAUAUAUAAUCCUCUACGAAGCGCUGUUGAAAUAGUUUAUUGUAGUUUUCUAGACCAUCACAAUUGUUUACAGACAGUCCUCACUAUUACUUCAAUUGUCUUCAAAAACAGUCUUGCCCAAAACAAAACAUUGAUUGAUAAGUGACAAACCCCAUUUGUUUAAUGCGUGUGACUCAGAGCAGAGACAAGUUUGAUAUUAGAAUAAAUGGAUUUAAAUAAUAUUUUAUUAUUUUUUAAAAAAAUAUUUUUAACUUUUUCAUAUUAAAAUGAUUUAAAAAUAAUAAUAAAAAAUAUAUUUUUUUUUAAAGCAAAAACAAACUAGGUAUAAUAAAAAAACUUAAUUUAUCUCCAUUUUUUUAAUGACCAAGUUGUAUUCCAAUAAUUGAAGGGGAAAUAGAGACCACUUGUCUUGUAAAAAAUACCGUUGGCCUUUGCUGGUUUCCUCACUCAAAACCACGACGAAGAAGCCUUGAGCCUCUUGUUUUUCUCCCACACUUUUGGUACACUCACCUAUAUAACCAAACCCCUUUACUCCCAUUUACUUCAUCAAAUCAUAGCUCCUGAUAUCUUAAUCUCUCCAAAUCCCACUUCAAAGAGUUUCCAACUUGUUGGUUCUAUAUCACAGUAACAGAGAAAAUGAGUUCAGCAAGCAAAGCUUGGUUGGUUGCAGCAGCUGUUGGAGGUGUUGAGGCGUUGAAAGACCAAGGGUUCUGUAGGUGGAACUACACCUUGAGAUCCCUGCACCAACAUGCCAAGAACCAUGUCAGAUCAGCCUCUCAGGCCAAGAAGCUUUCUUCUUCAUCCUCUGCCAUGAUCUCGAAUAAAGUCAAGGAAGUGAGAGCAAAACAGUCUGAGGAAUCUCUAAGAAAAGUCAUGUAUUUGAGCUGUUGGGGCCCUUACUAAGCAAAGAAGCCACAUGAAAUUGAGGAAAUUAUCGUGAUAGGAUUAGCCUGAUUGUUGCCAGUUGAUGUAAAUUGAUUUUUAAAUAUUGUUGCUGACUUCAUGGAAUCAAACCAUAUUAUUUUUGGAUUAGUUUUUCCUUGCACCAUUUAUUUUAUAGUUUCUGUUUUCCCAUUUCUUUUCUCAGGCCCUCAUGUCGCAAAGUGAAAAGGAUCAUGACAAGGUUAAUUUUAGUGCACCACAGCUUAAAAAAAAAUUGAGGGGCAUUUGUAUUCAAAGAUAUUUGCAUCAAUCGGAAUCUCACUACAAUCUAAAUUAUAAUUUGGUAAAAAUAAAAAUUCAAUUCAAGAAAAAUUAGAUUCGAUUUAGAACUUAUACUGGUUUUUCAAAGACAUAAAUGGAUUAAGAAAUAAUUAUUGGACUUAUCCCCUUUUUGGAGCCGAAAGGAAGUUCAUUAGUCUUUUGGUUUUUUGCAUAAAUGAAGAUGAAUAGGGAUUAUUUUCUUCAAUGUCAAAACUUGUGAAAUUUCAAGAAACUUGGGAAUGCUGCAAAAUGGUUGAACUGGCACAAAAAAAUUAGUAUUUUCUUGAAUCUCUGACAGAUGAAUUAGAUCGCAAGAAAUACUUUUUUUUGAAGUGAAUAAUGUUUCGUAACGUAAGAGAAUCAUUUCUCUACUACUCGUAAAAACAUAAAUUAUUUGGAUUCUUUUUUUUAAGGUUUAGCUAUAUCUAUUGGUGUAAAUAUUAUAAUAACUUUUUUUAUGUAAAAUUAGCAGUUUGUUUUAUAAAACAUUUAGCAAAAUAAUAUCAUUUAAAAAAGAUUUGAUUAAAUAACAUGUUUUUAUCAUAUCAUGCCAAAUAUGAUAUUUAUUAAAUGUUGUUAUUUGUAGAAGUAACAAAUUGAAACUCCAAUCAUCUAGCUCAACAGGUUAAUUAAUUGAAUUAAGUUAUAGUAGUUAUAUAAACUGAUCGAUGUUUUCAUAUAAAAAUGAUAAUUUAAUGAAUUUUAUUAAAAUAUUUUUUAUGAAUCAAAAUAUAUAUCUUUUUUCAACUUAUAUACAAAAAAAUAGAUUUUAAUUAAAAUCUUAAAAUAUUAUUAUUCACAUAGUGAUUGUCCUUUGUUUUUCAUUGUCAAUGAUGUAGCUAUAUUUGCAAUAACUGGUAAUUCUAAAUAAUCAGAUGCAACUCUGCUGUAACUAAAUGAGAUUUGGCCCAAACAUAUUAUUUGGAUAGCUUUGCAUUUGUGAACUAAUAGGACAUGUAUAAACUUAGAAAGAAGGUCUAAUUAUACCAUAACAAAAUAAUGCUUAAAAGAACCAUAACUUUUGAUUAGACACUUAAAUUCUUUACAUGAGUUUUCAGAGGAAGUUUUUUCUAUUGUAGCUACUGUAUCGCUAUAUGAACCGUUAGAUUUUUAAAUAUAAAAAAUCUAGUUGAGUCACUUUGAUUUUAAUAACUUUGAGAUUUUUUUUGUUAUUUUUCGAAUCGAUCAACUGGUUUCACUGACCAUUAUGAAUCGGUUGAGCCAGAUAAUUGAAAUUUCACCUUGUCAUGUUUUAAAAGUGUGAUAUUUAUUAAAUGUCGCUAUUAUUUUAAUUUUUUUAAAAAUAAUAAUAUUUAAUAAAUAUUAUAUUUUUAAAGCACAAUAAAAUCAAAAUAUGCCAUUUCAUAAAAAAAAAAAUCUUCUCUGUUAAUUUGCCAAUUGUUUUGAUUUUAUUCACUAAUUUCCUAAUUUAUCCCUUUUUUUCCGUAACACAGCUAGCUAUAAUGUGCGGGUUCUUCAUUUAUUUAUUUUUCUCAACUGUGAUACAUAACAAUUAAUUUUUUUUCCACGUUUGUUAUUUUGGAAAAAAAAAAAUCGUAUCUUGUGACACAUGCAAUGGAUCUACAAUUAUUAUUGUCUUCAGGAGGUAAUCCUGUCCGUUCCCUGUUUUUGAGUAGAUGCCUAGACAAAUGCUAAAAUGCUAUCCUUCCAGCCCCACUACUAAAGAAAAACAAGUGGAUUUGCCUCCAAUACUUGAGGCUCAAUUUUGAUUUUUAUAAAGCAAACCGUGUGCCUCUUACCAAAAACAAGUCCCCACUCCAGCUUUGUCGUAAUUGAAUAUGAUAAGAUGCAUGAAAAAGAAAUCCCCCAUUUUUUCUCCAUUUGUAUUUAAUGCCACCAAGUGGUCCUUGAUGGACAUAAAGAUUCAGUCCCAUCCUAGCCUAACUGCACUAAAAUAAUACCACUGGCUUUAACUUGUGCCAAAACCACCAGCCACAGCUUAUCCCUGGCUUCCGGUUUCCUCCAAUUUUCGGGUCCUCUAGUCCCCUCCUCUCUAUAUAAGCAAUCCCCAGCUUGUCAUCUCCACCAUCAAACACCAUUUCCCUUCUCAAUUACAUCUCAACUUUUUCAAAACGUUGUCCAUCUUCUAGCUCUUCAGUUCAAUCGAAAGAAAUAGAAAAAUGAGUUCAACAAGCAAAGCUUGGGCUGUUGCCACUAGUAUUGCAGCUGUGGAGGCUUUGAAAGAUCAAGGAUUUUGCAGAUGGAACUACACAAUAAGAUCACUAUACCAACAUGCCAAGAACCAAGGCAAGUCAUCCUCUCUGCCCAAGAAGCUCUCUUCUCCAGCUUCUACUGUGGUUGCCGGUAAAGUAAGAGAGAAUCAGAAAGCAAGGCAAUCCGACGAGUCACUGAGGCAGGUCAUGUACUUGAGUUGCUGGGGUCCUUACUAGCCAGGCAGUGAACUACCAGCAAGGAACUAUGGCCAUGCAUGCACUGGUUGCAGCAUAGAGACAAUCGAAGUCUUUCCAAGAGAGACUUAUUUGGAGAAACAUGACAAGGCCGACUUCUUAUGACGAUGGACGCUGGAACCCAUCAACGAUUAGUCAGCUUCAUUUGAAUGUUAUGCUCUAGCAAUAUAUGUUUCAAUCAAUUGUAGCCCAAUGAAUUGCUGAAUGAUGGGAGCAAAUUCUUUCCAUUGCUGCAACAACUUGCAAGUGAUGUAAAUUGUAAUUUUUCAGAAUGUAACGGCAUUUAAAUUAAGACUCAAUUGAAUCAGUAAGCUAAUUACAUGAGUGGAUUAAAGUCUUGUUCUCUGCUUUUAGCCCAUAGGGAAUAAUUACUACAACGUCAAAACCUGUGUGCCUUCAUGAAACUUGGACUGUGGCAGAGUGGAUGAACCUCACACGACACUUUCUACUAUAAGUUUAUAUAUUGGGAUUAGGCUGCAGUCAAGUCUUGAGUAACAAAAAUUAAACCGGGUGGGGUUUUUUAUUGUGGCAGUGUGCGACAUCGCGGCGAAAAAUAUAAGUGUUUUUCAUUUUAAAUCGACAAUGUAAAUCUAUAUCUAUUUUAAAUCUACAAUGUAAAUCUAUAUCUAUUUGGCAAAUGGAGAGACAAGAAAUUCUUGUUUUUUGUUGGUGGAAAAUGGAAUGGGAGUCGUCACCUAGUAUUUUGGUCACUAGAAAUUUUAACUGGUCUCAGAGAUCGGGCACGGGGACUGGUUGCGUAAAGAGAAGGUAUUAGCACCCCAAAUACGCCUUACCUAAGAUAAGCUGCAUUAUUUUAUUGUCUGAUAAAAUCUAAGGUCUUUUCGUGUUUUCCUAGUUGUUGGUAUAGUUCAAGAAAAGUCCUCCUCGGUAAGGAGAUCCUUAUCUUAAUGGGUAAUUCUGACGUUAACAAAAGAAUUUAAUAUUCAGAAUAUGUCUUACGUAUAAGAUCGUAACCCCAAAUACUAAGUCCUCCUCGGUAAGGAGAUCCUUAUCUUAAUGGGUAAUUCUGACGUUAACAAAAGAAUUUAAUAUUUGGAAUACGUCUUACGUAUAAGAUCGUAACCCCAAAUACUAAAAGAAAACACAAUAAUUUUUUUGGAAGUUUUGAAAUAUUGGUCUAGUUCUCAUGGCUUGAAUAAACUGGUUAUUAAAGCCAACAUGCAUGUUAAUACAUAUAUUGUUUUGAAGUUUCCUUUGUUGCGUGAAAAUACGAUGUUAUAAUAUUUAUAUAUAUAUAUUGGAGAGACUAGGCCGUAUGCAUUAAAACAAAAACAUUUUUUUUAUAUAUAUAUUUUUGAUGUUUUGACGAAAACCGGGUAUUUUAAUACUUGAUUUGUAUCUUUACGGUAUAAAAAUACAAACCAAUAUUAAACCAUUUUGACAAAAAAAUAUGCAGGAAAAUCAUAGGAUUUUUUAUAAUAUAUUUUUUUGAAAGCAAAACAUUUUUUAUUUUAAAAUUUUUUGAUGUUUUGACGGAAACCGAGUAUUUUAAUACUAGAUUUGUAUCUUUACAGUAUAAAAAUACAAACCAAUAUUAAACCAUUUUGACAAAAAUAUGCAGGAAAAUAAACAAUAUUUUUUUCAAAUAUUUUUUAGAAUAUUUCUUUUUAUUUUAUACACACACAUAAUAUAAAACAAUAUAAUAUAUAAUAUAAUAUAUAAUAUAAUAUAUAAUAUAAUAUAUUAUGUGGGCUGGGCCGACCCAAAUAAAUGGGCCAGGCUCAGCCCAGCAUGGAUUGGGCCAAUCUCGGCCCAUUCAAUCUCUCAUUUUUGUCUGGGCCAGACUGGCCCAGAAUCAAUCUGGCCCAGCGCAAGAAACCCAUCGAGAGGGGAAUUAUUUUUCCCCUCCUAUCAAUUCUACAUGCAGGAGGAAAACGCCACGAGAAAAAAAUGCAGGGAGAAGACUUUACCUGGCGUGGAGGAGGUGGUCGUUGGUGGUGCUGCGAUGGAGGCCGGUGGCGGUGUCGUGGCUCACGGACGGCGGCUCCAAGCGGCGGUGCUGCUGUUUCAAACGGCGGAGGGUGAGGAUACUGCUCUUCCUUUCUCCUCCGUAUGGCUUCCUCUUCUUUCGUUUUUGGUGGUUUCCUCAGUUCGGGUUUGCUAGUUGUUCUUUUUGGUUCGGUUCUUUCCCUCCUUUUCCUAUGUUUUCUCUUUUUUUUUCUUUCGGUUUGUUCCUUCUCUUCCCUCUCUACUGAUCGUUCUCUCUCUUCGGGUUUUCUCCUUUCUUUCCCCUCUCUCUAUUCGAGCCUCUCUUUUCGUUUUCUUUUUUUUCCUCUUUUUUCCUCCCCCUCGCGUGCUGGCGUCCAGUCUUCAUUUAUAUGGGGCAAGGGAGCGGGGGCGUCGCUAUUGCCACCCUAUGGCAGCGCACGGGGAGCAGGGCUUUGCUGCCCUGCCACAGCGCCGGGCUGGCUGGCCAGUGGGCGUGGCUGGUAGGGCGCGGCUCCCUCGACUUUUCAUCAUGAGAGCGCAUGGGGGGGCGGUUUUGGCAGAUGUGGCAUGUCGGGUUCAACGACGAAAGAAGAAAAAAUUGCCUUCCCCUGCUGCACGUCCAGGGGAAGAGAUAGGGAACAGUGUCGUUCAAAACGACACUAUUCUGUUUUUUUUUUUUUUAACAUGAAACGGCGCCAUUUUAGACAAAACGCGCCGUUUCAUUUAAAUCAAAAAGGGGCGCCGAAAGGCGUCAUUGUCCAAGUCAGUCCUUAAUUAUAUUUUGUUCAUUUCAAUUGCAUCCCUUCCAAUUUCGGUCGCCACCCCUAUAUUUGUCCGCGUUUUUCACUUCAAUCCUUGGCCUCUGAUUUAUGCAAUUUGACCCUCAAUUAAUCAAUAAACUUCCAAUUUCUUCAAUUUAGCCCAUGAUUUUGUUAAUUACAACCCCUAUAUUUACACGCCUUUUCCAAUUUGGUCCUUGGUUUCGGAUAUUCUCAAUUCAGUCCCUAAUUGGCCAUUAAAGUUCAAUAUUUAUGCAAUUAAGCCCUUGAUUUGACCAAAUCAAUUCCUAAAAAUUAUAAUUUGACCCCAGAACUUUAAUUUCUUCCAAUUAAAGCCCAAAUUGACAUAAAAAUCAAUUUUUCUUGCAAUCAAAACCUCUAUAAAUUCAAUUAAACUUGCAAUAAAAUCCAAUUAAGUCCAUAAACAUCCAAUUUUGAACUUUUCUCUUCAAAUUGAAUUUUUUUCUUUUCCAACUGGGCUUUCAUCAUUCAAGGAUACACUGUCAAAAUUUCAAUCUUUGUAUUUUUAACCUCCUAUUAUUUUUUUAUUUUUUUAAUUUCUUCCGGCUAUAUAUAUAUAUAUAUAUUUAUUAUUAUUAUUAUUUAUUACUUUUAUUAUUUAUUUUGAUUUUUAUUAUUUUUGUUAUUAUUAUAUUUUUUAUUUAUUUUUAUUUUUAUUUUUAUUUUUGUGUGGGGACCCAAAAAUGGGUUACAACAUCGAUGUUGAAGAUGCACUAUUUACUUUUUCAAAGAGAUGAUUGGAUUAAAAGAAAAAAAAAGAAGAAGGUAAAAUGUAAGGUGAUUUUGAAUUUUAUAUAAAAAGUUUAUCGUGGUUUUUUAUAUAUUUAUUUUUAUAGAUGAUUGGUCCGAAAUUAAAUUUAGAUAUCAAUUUUUUUUUUAGUUUUUUUUUAAGAGGAAAGGACUAUUGGAUUAGUAGAGAGAGAAAAAAUAAUUAUUAACGAUUAUUCUAGCCAUAAAAAAUAAUUAAAAUUGGUGUUAAUAGAUUAUAUUUUUUACAACGAUAUUUAGUUGACGGAUUCGGCGAAAAAACAAACUAUGCGUAGUUUGUUGUCUUCAUUCUCGAGGGUUGGGUUGGAAGGCUUACGUGUUUGUAUUGCUUUUAUUUUUUUUUAUUUUUUGAUAUUUUAUAUUUUAAUUAAAAAAUUAAUAAAAAAUUUAUUAAAUUCAAUCAAAUUCAUGAGGAGUUUCUGCUUCUCAAAAAAAAAAAAAAAAUCAUCUCUUAUUAAUGAUGAUCUAUUUUUUUAACUCCAACUUAAAAUAGUGCAAUUUUAAUUUUACUAUUAUUAUCAAUAAUAUACUUUUGCUAUAUUAGCACCACGUCCCUAUCAUGAUUUUUUUACUUAACAAAAAAUAUUUCAUACAAAAAAAUUAUCAUGUGCUUUAUUGUUUUUAUUGUUAUGUAAUUAAAUGAAAAAUAAUUUUUGGAAUCAAAAAAUUAUUGAAUUUGAUGACUAACAUGAUUUGCUUUGUGAGUUUGACUGGCCGAGUCGAGUUGAUUUAAGUUUUUAAAUUAAAUACUAUUUUUUUAACCGAUUUUGUUCUUCAACAUUGAGUUAAUUUAAGAUUAAGCUUUUAAUUUGUUUUUUUAUUUUAUUUUUCAGAUUAUCCCUACAACUUUUAUAUCACAUCCAUGUUAAUUUAGGUAAAUCAAAUAUUUUUUUUUAUCUUAAUAUUAAAUAAAAAUAUCGUUCAAUUCAUAAUUAAAAUCUAGUUUUUUAGAAGACACAUCACUAAUAUUUAAAUAAUUUUUUUGUUUUUAAUUUAAAAUCUGCUCCAAACCCACGGCAUAGGGCGGUAGUUCAAAGCUCCGUAAAAGGAAUUCACAAGUUAGAGCAAAUAUUUGGAGUAAUUAUUCAUAAUCUUUCGUAAAAUAGGUAAACCAAUUUAUUUUCUGAUCACAGUCCAUGUCGUUUCCAUAUCAACAUUAUGCAUCACGAGUCAUUUUUGCUUUUUUUGAACCCCUUGCAACUAAAGUUAUUAAAUUGGAUAUGCUAAUAACUUAUUUUAAGAUUUGGACUAAACAAGUUAAUUUAAAUUGUUUUUAUUAAUUAAAAUAAUAUUAUUUAAUUUAUUUUUUAAAAUUAAAUUAAGUUUGAAACUAAUUCAAUCAUGUGAUAAUUUGAUCCAUCAUAUAGUUUAACUAAGUUAAUUAUCAUCUACUUUUUUAAAAAAUUAACUUGAUUCAGGUUUAAUAAUAAUUAUCAAAACUUGAGAACUGUUUUUUCCUUAAGUUUUACUUAUUUAUUUAUCUUUUUAGUGAUAUAUAAAUCGUUAAAAAAUAAUAUAAAUUAUAUCCUGGAAUUUUGCCUAACCGAUUAAGCUAUUAAGUUAAGAUGGUUUUUUGAUAUAGUAUCAGAGCGUUGAUGAUCAAGCGGUCACGAGUUCGAAUCUCACCAUCCCUAUUUAUUUAAUAAAAAUCAAACACAAGAUAAUAUGAGUUUGUGCAAGUUUCAAGUCCAAAUGACUUUUAUUUGAGGAGGUGUCAAUUUAAACUAUUAAAUUGAAAUAAUUUUUUUGAAACGGAAGGAUUCACAAUUAUUGUGUUCAUGAUGUGAUCCUAUACUUUUUCCUGUUUUUGAGUAGAUGACUAGAUAAAAUUUAUUUAAAAAAAAAAAUCAAAACGACAUUGUUUUAGUAAAAAAGAAAACAAAAAAAAUAAAAGCCAAUAAGUUUGUGGCCGGGUCUUUACCAGAUCUUUCCAGGUCAGCCGGAUCACACCAAAUUUUUCCUUUCUUUAUUUUUUUUUCAACCCGGUCCGGUUUCGUUCCCGGAUCGACCUACCAGGUCAUCAGGUUUCAAAACUAUGUCGAAGGUUACCACCUUUGGUUUUUUAUCUCUAUUUUUUAAAUGACCAAGUUGUAUUCCAAUAAUUAAAGGGGAAAUAGAGACCACUUGUCUUAUAAAAAAUACCGUUGGCUUUUGCUGGUUUCCUCACUCAAAACCACCACGAAGAAGCCUUGAGCCUCUGGUUUUUCUCCUACAAUUUUGGUACACACUCACCUAUAUAACCAAACCCCUUUACUCCCAUUUACUUCAUCAAAUCAUAACUCCUGAUAUCUUAAUCUCUCCAAAUCCCACUUCAAAGAGUUUCCAGCUCGUUGGUUCUAUAUUACAGUAACACAGAAAAUGAGUUCAGCAAGCAAAGCUUGGUUGGUUGCAGCAGCUGUUGGAGGAGUCGAGGCCUUGAAAGACCAAGGGUUCUGUAGGUGGAACUAUACCUUGAGAUCGCUACACCAACAUGCCAAGAACCAUGUCAGAUCAGCCUCUCAGGCCAAGAAGCUUUCUUCUUCAUCUUCUGCUAUGAUCUCGAAUAAAAUCAAGGAAGUGAAAGCAAAACAGUCUGAGGAAUCUCUAAGAAAAGUCAUGUAUUCGAGCUGUUGGGGUCCUUACUAAGCAAAGAAGCUAGAACAGAUUGAGGAAGUUAUCGUGAUAGGAUUAUCCUGAUUGUUGCAAGUUGAUGUAAAUUGAUUCGUAAAUAUUGUUGCUGAC
rnacentral:lncRNA from 1 species